GGUGGCUCAGUGGUAGAGCACUUGCCUUGCAUCCAUGAGGCCCUGGGUUCGAUUCCUCAGCACCA
rfam:Dipodomys ordii contig_81520, whole genome shotgun sequence.